AUGUACAGUGAAGACCAACUGCUAUUACCUUCAGUUGAACUAGUUGAACUGAGCAUGUGCGACCACCUCAUUGGGUCUUCACUGGACCGCACUGGGGCAACAGUUAUCAAGGCAAUGCAGUCACAUGGCAGAUUAUAAAGAACAUGAUGCUAUGGAAGAUAUCAAAGCUAAAUCAAAGGAAGCUUGACAACCCAUAAUAAGAAAUUCAAUAGAUGCAGAAGACAUAAAAAACUCCUUCUCCAAGCAUGGAAGAGGAGCCGAGAUCAGGACAAGAUGGAGAACAGAAAGUAUGUGAGAGGAAUGAGGAAGAGCUCGAAGCUCCUGAUGUAUAUAAAGAGACGGUUUAUUAUGUCAGCAAAAAGGGGAUUAUAAAUAAGCUCAUUACAAAUAAACCAUGUAAGCAAGUGAUUGUGCCCCAAGAGACCACUCACUAAGUUAUAUAUAUUUUUAAUAUCUGGUUUAAAGAACGUAUUGUAAGAUCGGA